CAGUAGCCGCGGUAAUACGUAGGGUGCGAGCGUUAAUCGGAAUUACUGGGCGUAAAGCGUGCGCAGGCGGUUCGUUAAGACAGAUGUGAAAUCCCCGGGCUUAACCUGGGAACUGCAUUUGUGACUGGCGAGCUAGAGUAUGGCAGAGGGGGGUAGAAUUCCACGUGUAGCAGUGAAAUGCGUUGAGAUGUGGAGGAAUACCGAUGGCGAAGGCAGCCCCCUGGGCCAAUACUGACGCUCAUGCACGAAAGCGUGGGGAGCAAACAGGAUUAGAUACCCCAGUAGUCCCUGUCUCUUAUAC
rnacentral:rRNA from 1 species